CUCAGGAGUGCUUGUGAAGAGAGACACUGAUACUGGCCUUCUGCAAAGAAAUAGGAGGGGUGGUGCAGCCUGACCCCAGUCAACUGGAGAGGUUUCAUGGUUGAGAAAGUUAGAAGAAAGCUGGUCUCCCUCUUCCAAGGGAAACCAACCAAAAAGAGAACCUUGAAGUUAAUAAAAUGGCUCCAAAAGAAACAUUUGCUAAAAAAAAAGUGACGUGUGCAAGGUGUCAUGGUUAAAUGAAGCUGAGACCUGCCAAUAAGGCCGACCACUUUGAAUGUAUGGACGAGGACGGUUCGCCAGCACCUGGCAAAGAAGAAAGUGGGUCUUUGGGAUUUUGGGUGUUG